AUUCCAUGAUGUGGACAUCUCUGUUAAAGAUCCUUGUAUCUCUCCUAUGCUUCAUAUAUACUCUCAUCAUUCUUGGUCUAAAAGAAGUUAAUUCAUUUCUCAAUUU